rnacentral:rRNA from 1 species
GUACGAAGUAGUGACGAGAAAUAACAAUGUGGAGCGUGUAUGCGUUUUACAAUUGUAAUGAGAGCAAAUUAAAGGCCUCAUCGAGGAUCCAUUGGAGGGCAAGUCUGGUGCCAGCAGCCGCGGUAAUUCCAGCUCCAAUAGCGUAUAUAAAAGUUGUUGCAGUUAAAAAGCUCGUAGUUGAUACUUAAUGUAUGAUUUGUUGUGUUCGGAAGAAAGUGCAGAAUAGUGUAUUAUAUUGAUAUUCUAAUGUUAAGUUAGAAUUCAUUUACUGUAAAAAAAUUAGAGUGUUUCAAGGAUAUCGAUAGUGAUAGGAAUAGGGUAGUAUGGAAUAAUGAGAUAGGGCUUUGGUACUAUUUGUUAGGUUUGCAUGCCAAGGUAAUGAGAAAGAGGGACAGUCGGGCAUAUUUGUAUUAGGAUGUCAGAGGUGAAAUUCUUGGAUUUUCUUAAGACAAACAAUUGCGAAAGCAUUUAUGAAGGAUGUUUUCAUUAAUCAAGAACGAAAGUUAGGGGAUCG